UUAUUGAGGGACUUAUGUUAGGGUUUUGUACAAAUGAGGUCAAAGUUAGGGAUUGAUCUCUUAUUACCGUAAUUGGUAGGUUUUCUGACGCGUUGGUGAACUCGGUUCGGCGAUCCGACGAGUGUGCGCGGAGAUAUUGAAGAAAAAGCCUGUUUUGGCUUCGUUUUGCCGUAGCAAGCAGCGUAGGUGUCAAAAAAUAAAAGGAAUUGAAUCAUAGCAUCUCGGUAUUCCUACAAGGUGAGGGGGUGCU
rnacentral:lncRNA from 1 species